rnacentral:rRNA from 1 species
AUUGAACGCUGGCGGCAUGCCUUACACAUGCAAGUCGAACGGCAGCACGGGAGCAAUCCUGGUGGCGAGUGGCGAACGGGUGAGUAACACAUCGGAACGUGCCCAGUCGUGGGGGAUAGCCCGGCGAAAGCCGGAUUAAUACCGCAUACGACCUGAGGGUGAAAGCGGGGGACCUGCAAGGGCCUCGCGCGAUUGGAGCGGCCGAUGUCAGAUUAGCUAGUUGGCGGGGUAAGAGCCCACCAAGGCGACGAUCUGUAGCUGGUCUGAGAGGACGACCAGCCACACUGGGACUGAGACACGGCCCAGACUCCUACGGGAGGCAGCAGUGGGGAAUUUUGGACAAUGGGCGCAAGCCUGAUCCAGCCAUGCCGCGUGUGGGAAGAAGGCCUUCGGGUUGUAAACCACUUUUGUCAGGGAAGAAACGGCUCUUACUAAUAUUAGGAGCUAAUGACGGUACCUGAAGAAUAAGCACCGGCUAACUACGUGCCAGCAGCCGCGGUAAUACGUAGGGUGCGAGCGUUAAUCGGAAUUACUGGGCGUAAAGCGUGCGCAGGCGGUUAUGCAAGACAGAUGUGAAAUCCCCGGGCUCAACCUGGGAACUGCAUUUGUGACUGCAUAGCUGGAGUGCGGCAGAGGGGGAUGGAAUUCCGCGUGUANCANUGAAAUGCGUANAUAUGCGGAGGAACACCGAUGGCGAANGCAAUCCCCUGGGCCUGCACUGACGCUCAUGCA